rnacentral:rRNA from 1 species
UCCCUAGUGGCGAACGGCGGAGUAAGACAUGAGGAACGUACCCUGAAGACCGGGAUAGUCAUUGGAAACGAUGGGUAAUACCGGAUGUGGCGGAAGUGUGGCAUCACAUUUCCAUUAAACGGUUUUUCGCUUCAGGAGCGCCUCAUGGCCUAUCAGGUAGUUGGUGGGGUAAUGGCCUACCAAGCCGACGACGGGUAGCGGGUCUGAGAGGAUGAUCCGCUCGAGUGGGACUGAGACACGGCCCACACACCUACGGGUGGCAGCAGUUGGGAAUCUUGCACAAUGGGGGAAACCCUGAUGCAGCGACGCCGCGUGGAGGAUGAAGGAUCUAGGUCUGUAAACUCCUUUUAUCGGGAAAGACUUAGGACGGUACCCGAUGAAUAAGCACCGGCUAACUACGUGCCAGCAGCCGCGGUGAGACGUAGGGUGCAAGCGUUGUCCGGAUUUACUGGGCGUAAAGAGCGCGUAGGCGGUCUGUUAAGUGUAGAGUGAAAGCUCCGGGCUCAACCUGGAAAUUGCUCUGCAUACUGGCAGACUUGAGGAAUGGAGAGGUUUGUGGAAUUCCUGGUGUAGCGGUGAAAUGCAUUGAUAUCAGGAGGAACACCGAUGGCGAAGGCAGCAAACUGGCCAUUAUCUGACGCUGAGGCGCGAAAGCGUGGGUAGCAAACAGGAUUAGAUACCCUGGUAGUCCACGCCCUAAACUAUGGAUACUAGACGUAAGAGGUAUCGACCCCUCUUGUGUCGCAGCUAACGCAUUAAGUAUCCCGCCUGGGGAGUACGGCCGCAAGGUUGAAACUCAA